rnacentral:lncRNA from 1 species
CACCACCUCCUCAUCGCCGGCGGCGACGACGUCGAAGCUUUCCUCUCCGAUUUCUUCAGGCUUCAGUCGCCAUCAGCAGCGAUCUCUCAGCUCCUCUGCCGCCGUCCGAUCCCUCUCGCGGUGGAGCCACGGUUUUAGCUGGCUGUCUCACGUCAGUGUACGGGCGCACACUAGAGCUGUGUCAAUCCCGGUGAUCGAGCAGUUUCAGAGGAAGCUCGCCACUAUGGGUACAAUUUUGUUACUUUUUUUACUGCAAUCUCAUUUCCA